GACGAACGCUGGCGGCGUGCUUAACACAUGCAAGUCGAACGGUGAAGCUCCAGCUUGCUGGAGUGGAUCAGUGGCGAACGGGUGAGUAACACGUGAGCAACCUGCCCCAGACUCUGGAAUAAGCGCUGGAAACGGCGUCUAAUACUGGAUACGAGAUCAAGCCGCAUGGUUAUGGUCUGGAAAGUUUUUCGGUUUGGGAUGGGCUCGCGGCCUAUCAGCUUGUUGGUGAGGUAAUGGCUCACCAAGGCGACGACGGGUAGCCGGCCUGAGAGGGCGACCGGCCACACUGGGACUGAGACACGGCCCAGACUCCUACGGGAGGCAGCAGUGGGGAAUAUUGCACAAUGGGCGAAAGCCUGAUGCAGCGACGCCGCGUGAGGGAUGACGGCCUUCGGGUUGUAAACCUCUUUCAGCAGGGAAGAAGUGAAAGUGACGGUACCUGCAGAAGAAGCACCGGCUAACUACGUG
rnacentral:rRNA from 1 species